rnacentral:rRNA from 1 species
GGGGAAUUUUGCCCAAUGGGCGCAAGCCUGAUGCAGCGACGCCGCGUGAGGGAUGAAGGCCUUCGGGUUGUAAACCUUUUUUCAGUAGGGAAGAAGCGAAAGUGACGGUACCUGCAGAAGAAGCGCCGGCUAACUACGUGCCAGCAGCCGCGGUAAUACGUAGGGCGCAAGCGUUAUCCGGAAUUAUUGGGCGUAAAGAGCUCGUAGGCGGUUUGUCGCGUCUGCCGUGAAAGUCCGGGGCUUAACCCCGGAUCUGCGGUGGGUACGGGCAGACUUGAGUGAUGUAGGGGAGACUGGAAUUCCUGGUGUAGCGGUGAAAUGCGCAGAUAUCAGGAGGAACACCGAUGGCGAAGGCAGGUCUCUGGGCAUUAACUGACGCUGAGGAGCGAAAGCAUGGGGAGCGAACAGGAUUAGAUACCCUGGUAGUCCAUGCCGUAAACGUUGGGCACUAGGUGUGGGGGACAUUCCACGUUUUCCGCGCCGUAGCUAACGCAUUAAGUGCCCCGCCUGGGGAGUACGGCCGCAAGGCUAAAACUCAAAGGAAUUGACGGGGGCCCGCACAAGCGGCGGAGCAUGCGGAUUAAUUCGAUGCAACGCGAAGAACCUUACCAAGGCUUGACAUGAACCGGAACGGCGCAGAGAUGUGUCGGCCACUUGUGGCCGGUUUACAGGUGGUGCAUGGUUGUCGUCAGCUCGUGUCGUGAGAUGUUGGGUUAAGUCCCGCAACGAGCGCAACCCUCGUUCCAUGUUGCCAGCGGGUUAUGCCGGGGACUCAUGGGAGACUGCCGGGGUCAACUCGGAGGAAGGUGGGGACGACGUCAAAUCAUCAUGCCCCUUAUGUCUUGGGCUUCACGCAUGCUACAAUGGCCGGUACAAAGGGUUGCGAUGCUGUGAGGUGGAGCUAAUCCCAAAAAGCCGGUCUCAGUUCGGAUUGAGGUCUGCAACUCGACCUCAUGAAGUCGGAGUCGCUAGUAAUCGCAGAUCAGCAACGCUGCGGUGAAUACGUUCCCGGGCCUUGUACACACCGCCCGUCAAGUCACGAAAGUUGGUAACACCCGAAGCCGGUGGCCUAACCCGUAAGGGGGGAGCCGUUCGAAG